rnacentral:rRNA from 1 species
AGAGUUUGAUCCUGGCUCAGAUUGAACGCUGGCGGCAUGCCUUACACAUGCAAGUCGAACGGCAGCACGGGAGCAAUCCUGGUGGCGAGUGGCGAACGGGUGAGUAAUAUAUCGGAACGUGCCCAGUCGUGGGGGAUAACGCAGCGAAAGCUGUGCUAAUACCGCAUACGAUCUCUGGAUGAAAGCGGGGGACUCGCAAGGGCCUCGCGCGAUUGGAGCGGCCGAUAUCAGAUUAGCUAGUUGGCGGGGUAAAAGCCCACCAAGGCGACAAUCUGUAGCUGGUCUGAGAGGACGACCAGCCACACUGGAACUGAGACACGGUCCAGACUCCUACGGGAGGCAGCAGUGGGGAAUUUUGGACAAUGGGCGAAAGCCUGAUCCAGCAAUGCCGCGUGCAGGAUGAAGGCCUUCGGGUUGUAAACUGCUUUUGUACGGAACGAAACGGUCUACCCUAAUACGGUGGGCUAAUGACGGUACCGUAAGAAUAAGCACCGGCUAACUACGUGCCAGCAGCCGCGGUAAUACGUAGGAUGCGAGCGUUAAUCGGAAUUACUGGGCGUAAAGCGUGCGCAGGCGGUUAUAUAAGACAGAUGUGAAAUCCCCGGGCUCAACCUGGGACCUGCAUUUGUGACUGUAUAGCUAGAGUACGGUAGAGGGGGAUGGAAUUCCGCGUGUAGCAGUGAAAUGCGUAGAUAUGCGGAGGAACACCGAUGGCGAAGGCAAUCCCCUGGACCUGUACUGACGCUCAUGCACGAAAGCGUGGGGAGCAAACAGGAUUAGAUACCCUGGUAGUC